UUCUACCCAUCGCGCGCCUCCUACCCUAAAUUUUCUUUAAUUUCUUGUCUCUGUUGUAUUUCCAUCGUGGUUUCGCCGAGGUGUGGUUGCGCCGAUUUUCGUCGAACAUCGAUUUGUCUUGUCGAACGUCACUCCGUUGAACGUCUUGCCGAACGUCGUUUGGUGGUCGCGCCGUUUAGUGGUUGUGGCCGACGUCAUCUUCCGUCUUCGACCGUAUUGAGUUCGCUGUCCACUGGGCUUAUCAUCCGGUCGUCUCACAUUAAUUUGUCGAGGGAGCUUUUUGCUGGCACUCCUAGGAAGCUUGUUGUCGUAGUAGGCAUUGCCCUCAUUGCUGUUUAUCUUUAUGCUUCUAAUUUUCCGAAGACCAUUCAGGAGUUGCAUCGUUCUAAGAAGAACGAUGACGAUGUACUUGGAGUUUUGAAGCCUAGUUGGAGUUUCCCCUUUAUUUCCAAUCGAAGUUGGGUGAGAUUUCCAGCUUAAGUUGGGUAGGACUGUUCGUGUAAAUAAGGAUGAUUUGGGUGUAAGAUUUACUAUGUACUUGGAGUUUUGAAGCCUAGUAAAUUGAUUUCUGCCUCUUUAAAGUCUGAUUCAUCAGUCGUAUUUUCUAUGCGGGGAGAUAUCUAUCCAGAUGGGCUGGUUAUGUUGGAGAAUACGUUGAAUUAAUUUUGUACAAGCUACUUGUUGAAAUGGACAUUUACAUAAGAGAACAAGAGAAAGAUCGGUUGACCCACUGAGUCUUAUUUACAGCGAACCAUGUGUAGUAUACUGUGAAAAGCUAUAUACUUGUGGUGCUUGACAUAUUUUAAAUACUUUAUAGAUAGUAGAAGUUCUUCGCACGAGCUACCUGGGUCCCGGCUACUCACAAGUAGUUUAUUUAAGUCUUGCACCAAUAUCCGAUCGAUCUAAUGUAGUGAUGAAGCUACCAAGAAAGUGAUUGGUAUUGGUUAAUGACAAGAUUUGUUGUAAUUUUGUUAUUCAUGACAAUACCUUGUUAUAUUUAGUUUCUUUGUAAAAAUAUAUUAUCAAGAUUUAGUUUCUAUUUUGCUUGUAUUUGUCCAUUUACGGAUAUUUGAUAGAUUUCGUGUACUUAGUUUCUUUGUAAAAACGUUAUCUAUGUUAUUGUUAUAUUUGAAAGUUCUUAUUUCUAUGUGUA